rnacentral:rRNA from 1 species
ACACAUGCAAGUCGAACGGCAGCACAGAAGAGCUUGCUCUUUGGGUGGCGAGUGGCGGACGGGUGAGUAAUGUCUGGGAAACUGCCCGAUGGAGGGGGAUAACUACUGGAAACGGUAGCUAAUACCGCAUAACGUCGCAAGACCAAAGUGGGGGACCUUCGGGCCUCACACCAUCGGAUGUGCCCAGAUGGGAUUAGCUAGUAGGUGGGGUAAUGGCUCACCUAGGCGACGAUCCCUAGCUGGUCUGAGAGGAUGACCAGCCACACUGGAACUGAGACACGGUCCAGACUCCUACGGGAGGCAGCAGUGGGGAAUAUUGCACAAUGGGCGCAAGCCUGAUGCAGCCAUGCCGCGUGUAUGAAGAAGGCCUUCGGGUUGUAAAGUACUUUCAGCGGGGAGGAAGGCGGUGAGGUUAAUAACCUUGCCGAUUGACGUUACCCGCAGAAGAAGCACCGGCUAACUCCGUGCCAGCAGCCGCGGUAAUACGGAGGGUGCAAGCGUUAAUCGGAAUUACUGGGCGUAAAGCGCACGCAGGCGGUCUGUUAAGUCAGAUGUGAAAUCCCCGGGCUUAACCUGGGAACUGCAUUUGAAACUGGCAGGCUUGAGUCUCGUAGAGGGGGGUAGAAUUCCAGGUGUAGCGGUGAAAUGCGUAGAGAUCUGGAGGAAUACCGGUGGCGAAGGCGGCCCCCUGGACGAAGACUGACGCUCAGGUGCGAAAGCGUGGGGAGCAAACAGGAUUAGAUACC